rnacentral:rRNA from 1 species
UACAGAGGGGGCAAGCGUUGUUCGGAAUUACUGGGCGUAAAGGGCGCGUAGGCGGCCUUCUAAGUCGAACGUGAAAUCCCUCAGCUUAACUGGGGAACUGCGUCUGAUACUGGAUGGCUUGAGUUUGGGAGAGGGAUGCGGAAUUCCAGGUGUAGCGGUGAAAUGCGUAGAUAUCUGGAGGAACACCGGUGGCGAAGGCGGCAUCCUGGACCAACACUGACACUGAUGAGCGAAAGCCAGGGGAGCAAACGGG